GAGGAAGAGCAGGGGGAGCGGGAGAGUACUGAGAGAAAAAGACGGAAGGUCGUGGAAAAACGCUAUGUUGGGCGAGGAGUAGUAGCUGGGAUGAGGAGAGGAGAGAGACAGGCUGCGUUACCGAAUGGGCAGUCUGUUAUCUUAAAGGUCUGGCUCUACUGCCUAGGCUGGAGUGCAGUGGCACGAUCUGGGCUUACUGCAGCCUCCACAUCCCUUCAAGCAAUCCUGCCUCCACCUCCCUAGAUGCUGGGACCACAGAUCUUUCCAACGCAUUAGAAAGAGAAUUCUCAUUUGGCUUCUCUCCAUCUAGUCUGGCUCCAUCAGAGAUCUGACUGUUUUCUUCCUAAAUGACUCUGCUAGAAGGUCACUAUAUAAUCAGCCUGGAGGAUGUCCUGAUUUCAUCUUCAUUUAAUUCUUUUUGAUUGACUACUACACUGGAGUGUUUGUUUAUUCAUCUGAGCAAGAUAUUAAAAGUUCCUUUAAAUAGAUGACAUUUAAAAGGCAUAAAUUGGCUUCUCUGACCACCCUCACCCUUCAACUGUCAGCGUAUCCUCCUCAUUCUUCUUGGAUGCAGGACAAGAGUUCAGCCCCUGCUGAAGGUGAUAAUGAGCACUAAAAUUUUCAGAAGUAAGAACAGAAGUCAUCACAACCUUUGUUCUCUGUAGAUCCACCAAUCUGUACUCCAUCCAGAGCAUGUUAGAAGACUUCGGUGAACACAGGACCAAACUCCCUACUUCUCUUUUCUCCUUUUAAACCUCUGUAGGAAUACAGACAAUUUUAGAAAUGAGAAUAUUUAGUUAUGGAAAAAGUGAAGACCUUGGUGGGAAGUUUGUUUCUAUAGAAUGAAAAGCAUGAAUACUAAAUUUAUAAAACUUAGUAGGAAUCACAGCCAGACGCGGUGGCUCAUGCCUGUAAUCCCAGCACUUUGGGAGGCUGAGAUGGGUGGAUCACCUGAGGUUGGGAGCUCGAGACCAGCCUGACCAAUAUGAAGAAACCCCACCUCUACUAAAAAUACAAAAUUAGCUGGGCGUGGUGACGCAUGCCUGCAAUCCCAGCUACUAGGGAGGCAGAGGCAAGAGAAUGGCUUGAACCCAAGAGGCGGAGGUUGUGGUAAGCUGAGACUGCGUCCGUGCACUCCACCGUGGGCAACAAGAACAAAACUCCAUCUCAAAAAAAAAAAAAAAAA
rnacentral:lncRNA from 1 species